UACGUAGGUGGCAAGCGUUGUCCGGAAUUACUGGGCGUAAAGGGCGCGUAGGCGGUCUUCUAAGUCUUGUGUGAAAUCCCUCGGCUCAACUGAGGAACUGCACGGGAUACUGGAAGACUUGAGUUCGGGAGAGGGAAGCGGAAUUCCGGGUGUAGCGGUGAAAUGCGUAGAUAUCCGGAGGAACACCGGUGGCGAAGGCGGCUUCCUGGACCGAUUACUGACGCUGAGGCGCGAAAGCUAGGGGAGCAAACGGG
rnacentral:rRNA from 1 species